GACGAACGCUGGCGGCGUGCUUAACACAUGCAAGUCGAACGAUGAACUUGGAGCUUGCUCUGGGGGAUUAGUGGCGAACGGGUGAGUAACACGUGAGUAACCUGCCCUGGACUCUGGGAUAACUUCGAGAAAUCGUAGCUAAUACCGGAUAGGACCUUGCACCGCAUGGUGUGGGGUGGAAAGUUUUUCGGUUUGGGAUGGACUCGCGGCCUAUCAGCUUGUUGGUGGGGUAAUGGCGCACCAAGGCGUCGCCGGGUAGCCGGCCUGGGAGGGUGACCGGCCACACUGGGACUGAGACACGGCCCAGACUCCUACGGGAGGCAGCAGUGGGGAAUAUUGCACAAUGGGCGCAAGCCUGAUGCAGCAACGCCGCGUGCGGGAUGACGGCCUUCGGGUUGUAAACCGCUUUUAGUAGGGAAGAAGCCUUCGGGUGACGGUACCUGCAGAAAAAGGACCGGCUAACUACGUGCCAGCAGCCGCCGUAAAAC
rnacentral:rRNA from 1 species